GUGUGUGUUUGUGUGUGUGUGUGUGUGUGCAUGUGUGUGUAUUUGUGUUUUAGUUUGUGCAAAAAUAUAACUGUGUUGCCUAUUUCCAAGUUUACUGAGAAAACCACUCUGAGAGUUCACUUUGCGUCAUGAAACAUCAAAUACAGCAGCCCAAUCAUUUUAGCCUCUCCUCCUAGCUCUGUACAGCAAAAGGACACAAAAGCACUUGUAAAGUUCAAUUUUAACGGUAUUAGGGGCAAACCUACCAAUCUGCAUUGAAAUCCUUUGGAGCACAUUAAAGGAAUGGAGUACAUGGAGGUAAGGAGGAGGCUUCUCUAUAAAAUCCAUGAGUUUAUAUUCCUUCUUUGUCCUUUGUGAAUUGUGAAAGCCCACUGAAAGGUUAUGUCACUCACUGUGUCUUCUCCAAGCUUGUUUUCCACAUUGCCUGCUCCCAUUUCUUUCCAGCUACCUUGGCACAGUACAACUUCACCUUGGAGUCUGGCUUGGAUUGUAUUCACUGAGAAAUUGAGUUGCAUGGAGUUGUAUUGGCAUCCAGCAGAAGUCCCAUAGCUGUGCUGUGGUGCAAGAACAGGGCAGGUUCAGGAGCGGCUUUAGAUGCACAAAUAACCUAAAGCAUCCCCUGUUUUAUCUGUGUAGCAUUCUGCAAGGGCUGUUAGUCAACAUCAUUUUCUCUGAGUUAAAGUCAGCCUCAGUGGGGGAUAGGAGGAAUGAGGAUCUUAAGACAGGUCUGGUAGUGUAAGAACAGGUAGGCCUAUGAGAAGCCAUGUACAGAAAUUGGAACAGAAGUUUUAGUUGACCCAAAGAUUACAGAACAAGGAGUAGGUGUCAACAGAGCAACUAGGGCUCAUCAGUGCUGUGGUGGUCCCCAAGCAGCCCUGAAGGAGAAUCUGUCCAGACGUCCAUCAGCCAAGGGAGUGAAAAUGUACUAUACGGUGGGGCCAUUCCAUGGAUUAUGAUUCAGUGUAAGAUAAUCCAUGCAAGCAUUUACUUACUUACUCAAAAUAUCUGUGACACAAUCACAUUAUGGGGAGAAAAACUGUUCAUUUGUAUCCUGGGUAUGGAGAUUUCCUAUGAUUCUGUUCCAAUAGCCUUGGGCACGAAGUCAUUCAAGUUAAGGUAAAGAGAGCUGCUAUUAGAAGAAGCUGCACACUGUGGGGCAAGUCUGAAACAGUGGCCAAGAACAGAGUCUAAUCCACCACCAAUAUAUGAUCCUUUGCUGGGAAACAAGCCUGCUCUACACAGCCUUGGGAACGAGCUAAGCCAGAUUGGGGAAUAAGAAUAAGGAAGGAUUAGAGGAAACAAUGCAGACACUCUGAAGCAGAGAGAACUGAUCACCCAGGAAAGUGACUUGGGAGAAACAGUGUAGAAGAAUUGUGACAUCUUUGAGAUCAGGUAGGAACAUAGGCUGGCAGAAGCCAGUUGGAUUUCCUGUCCUAUAUAACUAUCCUUUGUGGGUGACUGACCUCCUACGUGGUUUCAGCCUCAGUCAGCUAAAGAACUACUCGGAGUAUUAUUCUGGUACAGUUUAUAUGAAUUUUGUCCAUAAUGCAAUAUAUGUGAUCUUCAAGAUUUCUUGGUAUUUUCUACUUCUUCUUCCUCUUACCUCUGUGGUAAACUCUGAGAACAUUUUCUUUUCUGUUCUCUCACAAAUUGCCUUACAAUGACUAUACACAUACAGGGGUUCUGUUCUGUUUGUACACCACCAUCACCUUUAAUGCUUAGAGUGUACACUGGGAAGAUUUACACGGAGCCCAUUCUCAGUGAUUACAGGAUGUAUGCAGUGCCCAUGGUUUUGAUGUGAGAUGGUUUCUCUGUGUAUUUACAGAUACAGUGGUUACAAAUGGAACCUAGGCAGGUUCCUUCACUGCAAAAAUAAUCUGAACCUUCACUUCAAUUCUGAGCAGGUUCUCCAUAAGACAUCCACAUGGUAUUCUAGGUUGCUCAUAUCUCUCUUGAACUCAGAUUCAGACAUAGCCACAAUGUUGUUAUUCAAUAUAAUAUACCUGGACCAGUGAAAAAAAUAUGCUCAUUUUUCUUUUGAUUCCAGUACUGUGCGUAGUCCACAGUUCGAUUUCUAGCAGUUUUUAAAAGCUGAUAUAUAAAUCGAAGCCCAUUUACUCUAUGACACUUGGGGAUGCAGGAAAUGACCUCAGUUGACAGGUAAUGCUGGAUUGUCCAACCGAAUGGAGCUGACAUAAGAGGGAGAGCUGAAUCAACAAACCCUCACUAAUCCUUUUUUCCCUUGCUCUGCUACGUCUAAAAUUCUCCAGCGAAACUCGAACAUGGCAUAGACCAGAACAAGAUCUCCCUUGGAGAGCAGUGCCACAGGAGGAGUCUAAGUGUGCACAACAAAUACACCACUAUUACAUCGCAUCCUUAAUAUCCAUAGCAGUUGUGGGCUGCAUUUUCCUACUUUAGUUUGAUUUCUUUGGAUUGAAUAGGCCAUACUUUCAUCUCGGCUCUCCCCAGCAAGCGUGCACAUUUGGAAGGACUCAGAGAAGAGCUGAUGCACAUCAAUCGAGAACUGCUGGGCAUCCAGGAAGAGUGUGCACAUGUACAUUUGUACUUGUCCUGAAGGGUCACCCAGAAGAGUUUCAUGGAGAUCAGUCCACAACAUUGGAAAAACUUUGAGUCAAAGACUGUCAUAUGUUUUAUACUCAGUAUUGGAUGGCUUUGUCCUUCAUACCCUCACUCCAACAAGGCAGACCUACUUACAUUCCCCUUGAAAAGAUUAUUA
ensembl:lncRNA